CAAAUAACUGAAUAAGUAGAGUAAAUCUAUCAAGCAAUCAUCAUCAGAACUGAUGGAUAAUCCCUACUAAUAUCAUCAAGAAAACUCAUGGAUAGUCCCUACUAAUAUCAUGAUAUCAUGGUAAGUCAAAAAUCUAUGUCAUGCACCAUAACAAUAAAAAAUAAAAUAAAAAAAAUCAGUUGCUAUAAGCCAACCCAAGAAAGAAAAAUUAUUCCUUUUUCUGGGUUACUAAUUGCUAAUUCACGGGCCCAAAUUAAACAUCCUAUGUAGGUUCUUUAUUGAAAGACAAUACUAUUCGAGACAGGGUCGGACACUUAAUGAAAAGAUCUCUCCGAGCGGAAAUUCAAACUUUUAUUUUUGUUCAGCACAUAAAUACAAUGACAUUAUUGUAAGAUAUAAAUGAUAUGAUAAUAUGAGUGAGAUGAAAACAAAGUUACUAGGAGUUGGGGAUUGGAGAGCUGACAUAGGGUUAAUCUCCUUGCAGCAGAAGAAACUGACGUGAAGACACAAGAGGAUAACUGGGAAGCCGAGAAAGCACCUGAAGUGGACCAACCAUCAAAUUCCUUUCUGCUUCUCCUGAAUGGAAUUGGAGUAUUUUCUUCCGGUGUGUUGGGUGCUCUCUAUAAACUUGCUCAGAAAGAAAAGUCCACUGUUGUUGCAACAAUAGAAACAGUAAGCUUAUAUGCACUCUUAGGAGUAAAUGUAAUGUCAUGGAGAAGGAAUACAAUGACCUAAAGUUCAGUGCUGAAAAGAAGGGUGCUUUGGACUCUCUAAGGUUUUAAGAGAAAAAGAAGAGGAGCUUCAUCAGCUAAAGGAUCAGUUUGAACUUGCCCUAGGUGAAGCAAGCAAAAGCCAGAUCGUCAUUGCUGAUUUAUCCCAAGAAAGAGAUGAUUUGAAGGAGGCUCUAGAUAAUGAAUCUAGCAAGGUGAAUCAUUUGAAGCAUGAACUCCAAGUUACCCAGGAGAAUCUUGCAAAAUCAAGAAAUGAGUCUGCUGAAUUGGAAAACCUUCUAACUUUGUCAAAUAAACUGUGCAAAGAGCUCGAGCUCGAGGUCUCUAAGCUCUCGUCUGAGCUCACUGAGGUUAAUGAAUCGCUACAGAGAAACCUUGAUGAUGUGAAACAUGAGGCAAAUUGCUAGCAAGUGAGCUUACAACUGCCAAGGAACACUUGAGGGAAGCACAAGCAGAGCUGCAAGGUGUGUCAAAAGAAUUGACAGCUGCUCUUGAAAAGAAUGAUAGCCUACAAAAAGAAUUAGUUGAAGUCUACAAAAAGGCUGAAAGCACAGCAGAGGAUUUGAAGGAACAAAAACAGUUAGGUUGCUUCUCUGAACAAAGAUUUACGAGCAUUAGAGCAGCAAGUCUCAAAAGACAAGGAGUCCCGAAAAUCUCUUGAGGGGGACCUGGAGGAGGCGACCAAAUCAUUAGAUGAAAUGAACCGAAAUGCGGUGAUCCUUUCUGGGGAACUACAGAGAGCUAAUUCUCUUGUUUCUAGCCUUGAAAAAGAGAAAGAUGUGCUUAUUAAGUUCCUAAACGACCAAAGAAAUGCAUGCAAAGAGGCCCAAGACAACAUUGAAGGUGCUCAUAACCUUAUCAUGAAACUUGGCAAAGAAAGAGAGAAUUUAGAGAAAAAAGGUAAGAAAUUUGAGGAGGAAUUGGCUUCUGCCAAGGGUGAGAUAUUGUGCUUGAAGAGUCGAAUCAAUUCUUCAAAAGUUGCUGUUAACAAUGACCAAGUGCAGAAAGAUGGAGGUGAAAACAAAGGUCAAUUCAUCAGAAGUUGCUGUUAAAAAUGGCCCAGUGCAGAAAGAUGGAGGUGAAAAAAAGGUCAAUUCUUCAAAAGUUGCGGUUAACAGUGAGCAAGCACAGAAAGAUGAAGGUGAAAACAAGGUUACUGUAAGCGCACGGAAGACUGUCAGAAGAAGAAAGGCUAAUCCACAAUAACAGAGAAAUUAGAGAGAUUUCUAUUAAAAAUAUUCCGAUUAGGAUCAUGAUAUUCUGUAAUAAACUAUUUGGAAGUCAUUUGAUGCCGAACUCUAUUCACUUUUGGCAUGCAAAUAUUUUCAUGUUGCAAUAGUAUUGUACAAAUGAAAUGACACAGUAGGAAUUGUUAAGCUAA